AGUAAAUGUGAAAGGAAAGAACAGUAGAGAGGAAAACUGGUCCUCAUCUGUCUUUCUAAUGUCUACUUUCUACUGAGGAAAACCUGCUCUUUGCUGAAAGGGUCGGCAUUUUUCCUGUGUCCUUGUCUACUUGAAAGAAAGCACUCUGAUGGUAGUAGCCUCCAAAGAGAAACUGGAGCAUGUUGGCAUGAUGGUGCUCAGAUAGAAUGAUAGACAAGCAGACAGAUAGACCAUGGGCAAAUGGUGCCUUGAUAUGGCUAGAUCAUUUGCGGCUGGGGAAAUUACAACGUUGGUACAACAUACUGGGAACUUUAUGAUUCCACCUUUGACGAUAAUUACCAAAUACCUGAC